rnacentral:rRNA from 1 species
UACGGAGGGUGCGAGCGUUGUCCGGAAUCACUGGGCGUAAAGGGUGCGUAGGCGGGUCUUUAAGUCAGGGGUGAAAUCCUGGAGCUCAACUCCAGAACUGCCUUUGAUACUGAAGAUCUUGAGUUCGGGAGAGGUGAGUGGAACUGCGAGUGUAGAGGUGAAAUUCGUAGAUAUUCGCAAGAACACCAGUGGCGAAGGCGGCUCACUGGCCCGGUACUGACGCUGAGGUGCGAAAGCGUGGGGAGCAAACAGGG